rnacentral:rRNA from 1 species
AGAGUUUGAUCCUGGCUCAGGAUGAACGCUAGCGGCAGGCUUAACACAUGCAAGUCGAGGGGUAUAGUUCUUCGGAAUUAGAGACCGGCGCACGGGUGCGUAACGCGUAUGCAAUCUACCUUUCACAGAGGGAUAGCCCAGAGAAAUUUGGAUUAAUACCUCAUAGUAUAGUGAUACCGCAUGGUAUUAUUAUUAAAGUCACAACGGUGAAAGAUGAGCAUGCGUCCCAUUAGCUAGUUGGUAAGGUAACGGCUUACCAAGGCUACGAUGGGUAGGGGUCCUGAGAGGGAGAUCCCCCACACUGGUACUGAGACACGGACCAGACUCCUACGGGAGGCAGCAGUGAGGAAUAUUGGUCAAUGGGCGCAAGCCUGAACCAGCCAUGCCGCGUGCAGGAUGACGGUCCUAUGGAUUGUAAACUGCUUUUGUACGGGAAGAAACACUACUUCGUGAAGUAGCUUGACGGUACCGUAAGAAUAAGGAUCGGCUAACUCCGUGCCAGCAGCCGCGGUAAUACGGAGGAUCCAAGCGUUAUCCGGAAUCAUUGGGUUUAAAGGGUCCGUAGGCGGUUUAGUAAGUCAGUGGUGAAAGCCCAUCGCUCAACGGUGGAACGGCCAUUGAUACUGCUAGACUUGAAUUAUUAGGAAGUAACUAGAAUAUGUAGUGUAGCGGUGAAAUGCUUAGAGAUUACAUGGAAUACCAAUUGCGAAGGCAGGUUACUACUAAUGGAUUGACGCUGAUGGACGAAAGCGUGGGUAGCGAACAGGAUUAGAUACCCUAGUAGUCC